GACGAACGCUGGCGGCGUGCUUAACACAUGCAAGUCGAACGGAAAGGCCCUGCUUUUGUGGGGUGCUCGAGUGGCGAACGGGUGAGUAACACGUGAGUAACCUGCCCUUGACUUUGGGAUAACUUCAGGAAACUGGGGCUAAUACCGGAUAGGAGCUCCUGCUGCAUGGUGGGGGUUGGAAAGUUUCGGCGGUUGGGGAUGGACUCGCGGCUUAUCAGCUUGUUGGUGGGGUAGUGGCUUACCAAGGCUUUGACGGGUAGCCGGCCUGAGAGGGUGACCGGCCACAUUGGGACUGAGAUACGGCCCAGACUCCUAGGGGAGGAAGAAGUGGGGAAUAUUGCACAAUGGGCGGAAGCCGGAUGCAGCAACGCCGCGUGCGGGAUGACGGCCUUCGGGUUGUAAACCGCUUUCGCCUGUGACGAAGCGUGAGUGACGGUAAUGGGUAAAGAAGCACCGGCUAACUACGU
rnacentral:rRNA from 1 species